rnacentral:rRNA from 1 species
CCUACGGGGGGCAGCAGUGGGGAAUAUUGGACAAUGGGGGCAACCCUGAUCCAGCCAUGCCGCGUGUGUGAAGAAGGCCCUCGGGUUGUAAAGCACUUUCAGUGAGGAAGAACGCCUGGUGGUUAAUACCCAUCAGGAAAGACAUCACUCACAGAAGAAGCACCGGCUAACUCCGUGCCAGCAGCCGCGGUAAUACGGAGGGUGCGAGCGUUAAUCGGAAUUACUGGGCGUAAAGCGCGCGUAGGUGGCUUGAUAAGCCGGUUGUGAAAGCCCCGGGCUCAACCUGGGAACGGCAUCCGGAACUGUCAAGCUAGAGUGCAGGAGAGGAAGGUAGAAUUCCCGGUGUAGCGGUGAAAUGCGUAGAGAUCGGGAGGAAUACCAGUGGCGAAGGCGGCCUUCUGGACUGACACUGACACUGAGGUGCGAAAGCGUGGGUAGCAAACAGGAUUAGAUCCCCAGUAGUC